AAAGUCGUAACAAGGUUUCCGUAGGUGAACCUGCGGAAGGAUCAUUAAAAAAUGCUCUAAAAGCAUCUACCCUUUGUGCACUUGUAAUUGAACCAUUUAACAAAUUAAAAAAUAGUUGAAUGGAUCACCCUCACAUACCUCUUUAAACUUUUGUCUGAAACUAUUUUAUGUCUUUGAACAUAAAGAAAUUUUAAUCAAAUAUAACUUUUAACAACGGAUCUCUUGGCUCUCC
rnacentral:misc_RNA from 1 species